rnacentral:tRNA from 1 species
AGGAGCCUAGCUCAAUUGGUUCAGAGCAUCCCGAUUUUCCAUCGGGAGGGUCAGGGGUUUGAAUCCCUUCGCGCCCA